rnacentral:lncRNA from 1 species
AUAAAUGUUCAAAAUCAUGUCGGCUCCUGGUUUUAUGUAUAUCUACUUGUACUUUUAAUUAUGGUUGCACCAAGCAUGUAUUGACAUUUUUCCAAUGCAUUCCCCAGAAUAUUAAUAUUUAUAAAAGCAGAAAAUAUAGAAGAUCGUAUUUAAGGAAGUGGCAAGUGUACACAUCCAACUAAUCUAGCAGUUGAGCGCUUCCGUGCCUUUUCCUCAGUCCAGUGAAAGAGAAACAUAGAAGGACCAUAAAAAUCUGAGGGAUUACUCCAGGAAAUGUAUGUUAAUGAAAAGGAAAGACGGGACCAAUAGAAUAGUUCCAGGGGAGUCUUGUGACCAUGAGAUGCAGCAGCAGCCUUCACGUUAAGUUUGUUUCAUUUCCACUAUUUAUUUAGACAAAAAACCUGGCUGAUCUCUCAUAGAUUUGUCUUGUGUACUCAUGUGUACCUUAGCCCACCAUCCAGCUCCGUUCAUGAUACAGUGACAAUGCCUGGCUGCCACUAAAAGCUGUGGGAUACAGAAGGGUCUCCAUCUUGCAAUGGCAUCAUAUUUAAAGAUCCUCCAAUUCUGCAGAAGUUUGCAUAGGAAGAAGCAUGAAGAAGAGAUAAUGUUCACCAAAUCCCCCCUGCAGAAUUCAGCACAACCUCCCAUCCUAUUUCAAAGGUUUGCAACCAUAUAUAGCAGAAUUUUAGUUGUUGCGGGAGAAGUUCUUAACUUUAGUUUCCUUAACUUCAUAUGUUUGAGUACAGUGGGGUCUUGACUUGAGAACUUAAUCCGUAUUGGAAGGCGGUUCUCAAGUCAAAAUGUUCUCAGGUCAAAUCUGCAUUUCCCAUAGGAAUGCAUUGAAAGCCAUUUGAUCCGUAUCUGCUCUUUUCCGUCCAUAGAAACUAAUGGGAAGCUGCUAUUCUGCCUUCGACCACUAGAGGGUGAUAUUUUGUUUCUUUUUUUUCUUAGGUCAAGAAAGGUUCAGGGAAGGCAGGGAAAAUACAGUCCAGGCAGUACAAGUACCAGGCAGUCUGAAGACUGUCUCCCAAUCCACUCUCUAAACGCUGGGAGGAGUGAGGAAGCAGACAGGCACCUUUUUCACUGGCCAACAGUUAACUGAAAGUUCAAAUUUUGCACUUUCCAUGCCUCCCACAUGGGUUUUUUUCAGUUCUUAACUCAAAUCUAAGUAUGUAAGUCAAGUCAAUAUUUUCCUAAGAGAGUGGUUCUUAAGUCAAAAUGUUCUUAACUCAAGCCGUUCUUAAGUCAAGACCCCACUGUAUUUGGAUGUUGUAAGCUACUUUAUCAUGCCUUUAAACAGAAGUAAUGAAACAGCUAAACAUAAAAAGGUAUAAUGCUUUUCAGACCUAGCUUUUUAUGUCUAACUGUAACAAAUAUAUACAC